UCGUCAGGAAUAGCGGCGCAAAUAAAGACUUUACUCAUUUUGUUUUAACCUCAUGACAGAUUUAAGGAUGAACAAAUCCCUGCCAUUGCUGGCAUAUAAGAAUGAAACCGGAUAUUUAUUACGGAACUGUUUUAAAGACCUGCCGGGAUUUCGAUAUUAUCCUGGUGAAUAACUUUAUCGACCGGGUAACAGUUACCGGGAAUUUUCUGUUCGGUUGCUGCAGUCAUACACUCCUGCAUUGUCCUGUGAACACUGACUGCAAUAUCAAC
rnacentral:rRNA from 1 species